GAUGAACGCUGGCGGCGUGCCUAAUACAUGCAAGUCGAGCGAAUGGAUUAAGAGCUUGCUCUUAUGAAGUUAGCGGCGGACGGGUGAGUAACACGUGGGUAACCUGCCCAUAAGACUGGGAUAACUCCGGGAAACCGGGGCUAAUACCGGAUAACAUUUUGAACCGCAUGGUUCGAAAUUGAAAGGCGGCUUCGGCUGUCACUUAUGGAUGGACCCGCGUCGCAUUAGCGAGUUGGUGAGGUAAAGGCUCACCAAGGCGACGACGGGUAGCCGGCCUGAAAGGGUGCCCGACCACACUGGGACUGAGCCACGGCCCAGACUCCUACGGGAGGCAGCAGUAGGGAAUCUUCCGCAAUGGACGAAAGUCUGACGGAUCAACGCCGCGUGAGUGAUGAAGGCUUUCGGGUCGUAAAACUCUGUUGUUGGGGAAGAACAAGUGCUAGUUGAAUAAGCUGGCACCUUGACGGUACCUAACCAGAAAGCCACGGCUAACUACGUGCCAGCAGCCGCAGUAA
rnacentral:rRNA from 1 species